rnacentral:lncRNA from 1 species
AAACAGAACAUGGGGGACUCCCUGGAAAACACCUACAUAGAAAACACCUCUGAGCUUUAACAAGCAGUUCAGGAACUGGCCGCAGUUUUAACAGUUAAACCAAACUGGACCAAACUUCCUCCAGCUCAGCCCUGAUGUAAGUGUCUGAUAGACCAGAAAAUACCCUCCAACUGCUCAAUUCUCCCUAGACUGAACUAAGCCCACUACACUAACUCAGCAAGCAAAUUCAAGUUGGACUCACCUGGAAUAUUUGUCAGUUGUCUAGAAAUAAAUGCAGUGGAACUCCAGUGUUGUAUCUGGAGAGGAGAGAAGAGAAAUGCAUCUAAAGGCUCUCUGGAUGUGACUCGGAGUGUUGAGUAGGUGGAGUUGGAGAAGGAAAGCCAUUUCUAUUCCAGAUAUCAAAUAAGCUCUCAGGAAAAUUCAUUCUAGAGCUUAGUUAAUUUAAUAAGAGAACACCUUUGCCUUCCAGCUUUCAGGAGGUUUUUGGCAUCCUCUACAACCAGCAAGUUGUUCCAGAAUCAACAGUUUUGGUCAAUGACUGACAAGGAAAGGCUGCUUUGCCUCAGUGCACCAGGAAGAAAUGAGCAGACAUGUGGCAGACACCUUAUUUGCACUGGUGGGACUAAUGCUUUUGAGGCAGUUUACGAAAGAUUGCAUGAAUUUUGUUGCUACUUGAGAUAUUGUGGCUUUGGAUAUCAUCAAAGCUGUGGCACAAGCACAGUCUUGAAGGUGAAACACAGAACCUUUCUUUGGCUCAAAAGAAGACAGAAUACUUGCCCUCAAUUGCCAUCUGGCACAGUGGAAAUCUCAGAGACAAAAAGAGCAGGUAACCAAACUGAC